rnacentral:pre_miRNA from 1 species
CUUAUACUCCCUCCGUUCGGAAUUACUCGUCCAAGAAAUGAAUGUAUCUAGAUGUAUUUUAGUUGCAGAUACAUCCAUUUUUAUGACAAGUAAUUUCGAACGGAGGGAGUACUUG